GAUGAACGCUGGCGGCGUGCCUAACACAUGCAAGUCGAGCGAUUUACUUCGGUAAAGAGCGGCGGACGGGUGAGUAACGCGUGGGUAACCUGCCCUAUACACACGGAUAACAUACCGAAAGGUAUGCUAAUACGAGAUAAUAUAAGAAAUUCGCAUGGAUUUCUUAUCAAAGCUUUUGCGGUAUAGGAUGGACCCGCGUCUGAUUAGCUAGUUGGUAAGGUAACGGCUUACCAAGGCGACGAUCAGUAGCCGACCUGAGAGGGUGAUCGGCCACAUUGGAACUGAGACACGGUCCAAACUCCUACGGGAGGCAGCAGUGGGGAAUAUUGCACAAUGGGCGAAAGCCUGAUGCAGCAACGCCGCGUGAGCGAUGAAGGCCUUCGGGUCGUAAAGCUCUGUCCUCAAGGAAGAUAAUGACGGUACUUGAGGAGGAAGCCCCGGCUAACUACGUGCCAGCCGCCGCGGUAAAAC
rnacentral:rRNA from 1 species